rnacentral:misc_RNA from 1 species
UCCGUCUUGACGACGGCAGUCCCUCUGGAGUGCCCAACUGAAUGGUGGCAACCAAAGGCAGGGGUUGCGCUCGUUGCGGGACUUAACCCAACAUUUCACAACACGAGCUGACGACAGCCAUGCAGCACCUGUCUCUUUGUCUCUUGCGAGCCUACGAUAUCUCUACCGUAUUCAAAGGAUGUCAAACCCAGGUAAGGUUCUUCGCGUUGCAUCGAAUUAAACCACAUGCUCCACCGCUUGUGCAGGCCCCCGUCAAUUUCUUUGAGUUUUAACCUUGCGGCCGUACUCCCCAGGCGGAUGACUUAACGCGUUAGCUGCGCCACCGAAACGCUAAGCGCCCCGACAGCUAGUCAUCAUCGUUUACGGCGAGGACUAC